ACUGGAGGUAGAGACCAUGGCUUUCGAGGAGCGCCCCGCCUUUUUGAGGCCGAGGGCAUGUAUGCUUCUUGGGGAAAUUCCCCGGACGUAAAGGCAGAGAGUGUCAAUUCGGAAACGAUUACCUGCCCUUGGUCCGUUUUUGGCUGAGACCGCAAGGGAGCUUUUGCGGGCCGGGUUGCAGCCGUCACAGCAAAGUUAUGCUUGCACUAACACAACGGGGAUUACUCCUACUCUCAUAG
rnacentral:RNase_MRP_RNA from 2 species